GAGCGGAGCACCACCCGGGAGGAACGUAAACGAAAAAGACAUGUAUGGAGAGACAGCUCUGCAUAGAGCUGCUUUUGCUGGCAAAGUGAAGGAAGCUGAAGACCUCAUCACUGAAGGAGCCGACCCUAAUAUUGGAAAUAAUUUUAAUGAG